AUGCUUUUUUUUUUUUUUUUUUUUUGUCUUUUUAGGGCCACACCCAUAGCAUAUGAAGGUUCCCAGGCUAGGGGUCAAAUCAGAGCUGUAGCCACCCGCCUACACCACAGCCACAGCAGCCAGAUCCAAGCCAUGUCUGCAACCUACACCACAGCUCCUGGCAAUGCUGGAUCCUUAACCCACGGAGCAAGGCCAGGGAUCGAACCUGCAUCUUCAUGGAUCCUAGUCGGAUUUGUUUCUGCUGAGCCACGAGGCCAGCACCCAUCUCUGCCACAUUCUAGAUUCCACAUAUAAUAGCUCCUUGCCAUCUGCUUCUCCAACUUCAGCUUCAGGAACCUACUUUGGUUUUCGGGUGACCAAGAAAAUUUCUCCCUUUCUCAAAAGAAGAGUCAACCACACAGCGUACGUGCCUCACCAAGGAAUUCAUCUGAAUUUCUAGAUCUCUUGCUUACUUAGAGACAGAACUCAAUUAAUUAUGUGCCAAUUAGUUAUUAGUUGCCUAAGAAAUUGCAAAAGACUAUGCCCCAGGCUUUGAUGGAGCACAGUUUCUUAGUGCAGUUUCUCAAAAUAUAAAUCAAGGGCAAAGGUUUAUAAUCAAAUUUCAUAAGUUUAGAAAUCAGUUUUGCUUUGAAAUCAACAUAAUUUGAUCUCAGGCAUUUCUUGGGACUAGAGGAAACAUUUUUACUUCAUGUUGUUUGCCUAAAAAGAAGAGUCAAAAAAACAAAAACUCUCUGGAAGAUCUACAUUCCCCAGAUUCAUCUUAACUAGUGAAGAUGAACGAAAACAUCUGUCCAGUCCCCUCUUUAAAGAUCUUCGUAGGAGGAAUUCUGGGCAUGUGAAAGGAGUCAAGGUCACAGUGUAGGCCUCCGUCUACCAUCCUGCCAGGUCUGCAAGGAACUCAGGGCGUUGCAAGGAACUCAGUUCUGGCGUCCUGCUAAGGAUAAGUAGAAGGCAUUGACUCUUCACUAUGUGGUUGCUUUCAACAAAAUUUAUGAGAAAGCAAAAGGAAGUUUCUAAACUACUGCCAGAUGGCAAGAACUUGGAGCACUGAAAUGAGACUAAAACCCAAUCAGAAAGAAGCAUAACCUAUUUAGGACAAGACAUCCGGGCCUCUUGUGAAACUGAAGCAUUUCCAAAUCUUCUGUAAAGACAUAAAGUCUGACCAGACAAAAUUAUUUCCUAGGUGUAACAUUCAGAAAUCAAAGUCAUACCUGAGUGACAACAGUCUCCCAUUUGCUGUCUGUUCUUUGUUCUUAAGUGAGUUUCUUCUCUGUUGAAGCUGCUUUUGAAGUAU
rnacentral:lncRNA from 1 species